rnacentral:rRNA from 1 species
UACGAAGGGGGCUAGCGUUGUUCGGAAUUACUGGGCGUAAAGCGCGCGCAGGCGGUCCUUCAAGUCAGAGGUGAAAGCCCAGAGCUCAACUCUGGAAUUGCCUUUGGGACUGCGAGGCUUUGAGGACGAGAGAGGUGAGUGGAAUUCCCAGUGUAGAGGUGAAAUUCGUAGAUAUUGGGAAGAACACCGGUGGCGAAGGCGGCUCACUGGCUCGUUUCUGACGCUGUAGCGCGAAAGCGUGGGGAUCAAACAGG